rnacentral:rRNA from 1 species
AACGAACGCUGGCGGCAGGCUUAACACAUGCAAGUCGAACGCCCCGCAAGGGGAGUGGCAGACGGGUGAGUACCGCGUGGGAACAUACCCUUUCCUGCGGAAUAGCUCCGGGAAACUGGAAUUAAUACCGCAUACGCCCUACGGGGGAAAGAUUUAUCGGGGAAGGAUUGGCCCGCGUUGGAUUAGCUAGUUGGUGGGGUAAAGGCCUACCAAGGCGACGAUCCAUAGCUGGUCUGAGAGGAUGAUCAGCCACAUUGGGACUGAGACACGGCCCAAACUCCUACGGGAGGCAGCAGUGGGGAAUAUUGGACAAUGGGCGCAAGCCUGAUCCAGCCAUGCCGCGUGAGUGAUGAAGGCCUUAGGGUUGUAAAGCUCUUUCACCGAUGAAGAUAAUGACGGUAGUCGGAGAAGAAGCCCCGGCUAACUACGUG